UUGCCAUGGAUGCCAUGACAUUCUGAGCUGGCUCUGAUGACAGUGCCCUAACAACUCUGACAGGGAUACAGUUGGGUAGUGGGGUGGGAAGUACAUCAACAGAAUCUCCAUCCUGUCAUUGUCUGAAUGUCAGGUUUAUGCUCAAACCUUGGAGAUUAUCAGGCAGAUGUCCUGAUCCCACCAGGAGGCAUACACCUGCAGAAGAUAACUCUAAAUGAAAAGUCCAGUGCAGUGAAGAAAGAGUGUCAAAGAAGAAAUAGAAAAUUGGGAGUUGAGAAUGAAAUUGCUUCAAAAAUAAUCAGAAAAAUGAAGACAAAUAAGAAGCUUCUAGACAACUCACAGAAUGGAGCCAGUCUUUAUUUAUAGUGAUGUCCAUGGAAUAAAAAGUAUUUAAGUUAGUCACAACUAACUUAAGACCUACUGAUUUCAAUUGAUAUAUUCUAAAUAUGAUUACAUUACAUAAUGUGAUAUAGGAUCAUAUUAUGAAUGUUUUACAUCAUUUUAUGACAUGUUCACUGGAUGGGGGCAGGGGGAAGAGAAUUGUGUUUUAUAGAAACAAGCACUUUGUGGAGAAAUAGGCGUGAAGCUGGCAUUCAUUGAAGCUUGUAAUAAAGAUUAAUAGCAAGCAAGAUAUAUUUCAGAGAAAAAACUACCCAACAUCAUUUUUCCUCCCCUAGAAGUGAUUGAAUCAACAGAAUCCUUAUAUUGCUCCCCAGUUAGCUGUGAUAACUUACAGUUAACAUUUCAAGAUAACACUCCUAUGUUCUAAAGGCUUACUCAGCAGAAGAUGGUUACCUACAGAAAAUACAUGG